GUUUCCUCUAUGCUCUCGUCUACGGACGUGAUCUCUUUUCCCCUUUACGCCGACCACGCAGGCGCCUUACGAACCUCCUCCUUCACCUGAGGCGUGAUCGCUCUCCUCGCGCCCUCUCUGCGUGCGCGACGUGACGCUUGUGUAUCUGUGGCCAAGUGAGGCCUUCUUCGCGCGUGCCUGUGCCGCCGGCUCUGCGCAGGCGGGGCGCGCGAGGCAGCGAAGUCGGCGCUUGCUGCACCGUACUUAUUCAUCAUCGUUCUGCUGCGCGUGGCUCUCCUCUGUUCUCUCUAUACACCAUUAUUGGCAUCUUCGCACAGAGUCGAACACGCGGCGGCGCCACCAUCAUCGUUGCACGCAAUCCGUCCCCCCCCCCCACACCACCACCGCCUCACUGCCCCCUUCGUUUUUUUUUUUGCGUUUGAGAUGUCCCGCGGUGUCAAGAGCUCGCAGAGCAGCGCGGCGCGCGCGAUGAUGUCCUCGAUGGGCACCCCGGCCGGCCUUAGCUCCUUCUUGGGCGGCUUUGCUACGGGUCUGGAGAACAGAGCGAACGCGGAGCGGGAGAGCGACUACGUCGUGAGCCUGAAGCUGCUGACCAAGACCAGCGAGAUCACGAAGCAAAAGGCGCUUGACCGGCUGCUCGAGCUCAUGAAAUCGACCUCUGACGAGGUGCUCCUGCGUUUUGCCAGCGCCACCGUUGAGACAAUCAUCCAGCAUGCCCGCCACCCAAAGCCGACGAUUCGAGCGUCGAGCUAUCAGCUGCUGCAAGCGCUGAUGAGCAAGAAUAAGGAGCUGAAGAAGACGAUCGUGCCGGAGCUCAAAGUUCUGUCUGGUGUCUGGGUUAUGGGGAUGAACGACAUGGAGACUGCCGUGUGCCAGGCAGCUGCGGCCGCCUUCGAUGCCGCUUUUCCUGCGGAAAAGAAAACGCUCAUGCUGCAGCAGUUUAUGGACGCCAUUAUGGUGAGUCUGCGCACCGCGGUGGAGGAGGUGAUGGCCUCGAAGAAACCGCUGCAGGAUGACUCGCUGGACCCCAACGCGAACAGGAUCUAUGCGGCGCUCAAGUCGAUGGGGUAUAUGGUCAAGCAAGUGAGCGCCGCGCAGACGGCAGUGCUGAAAUUUGUCCAGGACCCGCAGCUCUUGGGUGCGCUUCUGCCGCCGCGAGAGGCGCCCAAGUCGUACCUGCUCGUCAAAACACCGCUCGCUCGCUCCGCGGUGCUGGCGCUCCUGCGCGACGUGGUGUCCUUCUGCCCUGCGACCCCCAAGGUACACCAGCUCGUGUCGCAGGCUCUCUUCGGAUCAAUCCUGGACCCGAACGUAGCGAUGGCUUCGCGGACGUGGGAGCUCCUCCUCUUUUGGUGCCGCAGCAACGUCUCGGAUGUGGUGAGUCACAUGAAGGGUGGGUUUCUCGAUGACGUGGUGAACUGCUUCAUGGGGUGCCAACAAGGUGAGCUUGGGGAGGUGAUUUUCCCGUGCCUGUUCCCUCUUUUGACUUCGCUCUCCAAGGACGCGCGGUGCGAGGGCAUCCUGGAUGAGUUUUGUGCGGCGCUGGUGGAGCGGCUGAGCGUAAUGAGCGAGACGCCAAACGUGAGCGCGCACGACCUGGAGGUGGUGCUGACGGCGCUGAUGGAGUGCUGGGAGCUGCACUGCGUGCGCAAGAAGACGAGCCGCGCGUCUGAGGACAGCGUGGAGCUGCUCACGGCCAUUAGCUUCAACGUAGUAAAGCUCAUACAGACAGAGGCGAAGGCGACGCGUUACCAGGCUGUCAUCAUAGCUACCAUGGCAAAGAGCCUCCUCAAGACCGCCAACCGGUGCGAGGAUGUGUUCAGACAGUGCUUGACCGUGAUUGGCGCGCAACCAGGAGCGGCGUUCCGCGUACUCCCCGACUCCCCCGAGCCGGCCGUGCAACGCAGCUUUUCUCUCUUCCAGGCUCGCCUGCUGGGGCGGCUGUGCGCGAGCACGUCAACGCCACUGCCACCAGUGCCUGCUGCGACGACGACGUCGCCGACGACGCGGACAGAGGGUGCGAGCACCGCGCACUGCAAGGCGCUGGCCGCGGAUGUGGCGAACAAGUGGCUGCUGCAGCAAGUGGCCGUCAGCCCUGAUGAGCACAAGUGGGUUCAACUCGCUGCCUUCUUUGAUGAAACACGCGAUACCCAGUUCUUCCCCUCCGACGCGGUGGCGGACGCUGUCCUAGGCAUCCUGUGCGCGUAUGUGAGGCACACCCAUGACGAAGAGACCUCGGCACAGGCGCAUACACGUGAAAGCAGGGCGGCACUGGCGACUUUGGUAAAGGCGGGUCUGGAGUGGAAGCACCGCCCCGCUUCCCAGGACUUGAUGGAGGCGACGUCGUCCACUCAGGAGCACACAUUGAAGGAAGCUGCGCUGCGGCAUUUGAUGCAGGAUCCGGCGAGGCUGUGUGAGGUACUAACCUGCGCCGUCGCCCAGUGCGACGUUGCCGGUGUUAGCCAGUGCGUCGCGGUAUACGUCGAGCGUGAGCUGAACCUCUCGGAGGAGCAGCGACGCGGCGUGCUGGAGGCUCUAUGCACUUCAGUGAAGGAAACGCUAGCGAUGGUUACGGAGAGCGCAGCGGAUUCGGACGCAGGGUCGGCAACCACCAGCGACUCGGCGUCCAGCUACAGCUCCUCCAAGACUUCGCCGACGUCGUCUGCGUCGUCGUCGGCAUCAUCGUCAUCGACAAGCGACAGCGGCCUCGACAGCGACACGGCGGAUGCUGAUACAUCCGCCGCAGGUGGUGGCGACACAACCAACCUCGCCCCGGAAGCGAGAGAGCGGAUGAAAAAAUGGGGACAACUCUUGCGCAGCGGCGGGGCCUUUGCCGGGCUUUUGCAUCUGGACGCCGCGUACGUUGUGGGCCACCUGCUGAAACCUCUCUCCUACAUCAGUGCCGCUGUGGCGACGCGCGUGUUUGUGGAGCAAUACAUCUCGGUCAAGGCAAUGCGAAUCGCGCUGCAAAGGCAGCAGUAUCACAUCGAGGGCAGCGGCAGCAGCGGCAGCGAGGGCAACGAUGAUUUGGUGGCGUACGCGAUGGAGCGGAAGGUGCACUGGUCGAGCAUCGCCGAUUGCAAUGCCGUCACGGCGGAGGUGGAGGAGCUGCUGGACAGCUACUCCGUCCGCCCCGAGGACCGCGACGCCGUGGCCAUGGAUCUUCUCCACUCCGUCUUCAGCAACGACGACGAUCUGCCGCUCUCCUUCUUCGCUGUCUAUCGGCUCCCCCAGCUCGCGCCGUACGCUUCCACGGCGUGCCUGCAGUCGUUCGCGACGUCGGAGUCGGUGUGGCAGCAGGCAGCGGUGGAGGUGCAGGCGGCCGCGCUGGCCAGCAACGAGUCGGCCCUCUCGCUCUAUGAUGGCUAUCUCUCUCUCGACCUUCUGCGUCCCACCUUCACGACCACCGUACGCACAGCUCAGCUAGUCCGCCUGACGGACAGCGUCGAUGGGGCGGCCGCAGCGGUGGCGAUGGCCAACGUAGACCCCAAAGCGGUUGCCCGUGUCUUCUGCCAGCUGCUGCGCGUGGCGGCAUCGAAAGAGGUGCUGGCGGACGGUGUGUGCCGCACGCUCUUUGGGAGCGUCUUCCCGGCCAUGCUGGCAUGCUUUGACGUGGCCGAGGUGGCGGUCGAGGUGGCGGCUAUCGUGACCUCGACAGAGGGGCCUAUGGCGGCGGCUGGGGUGCCGUACCUACUGCCAACGUUGGCGGCCGUGCUGCGCGAUGUCGCGCCUGCGGAGGACACGGUGUUCCUGCGCCGUGCCAUCCGUCUGGUGAGCGCCGUCUCGAGCACGGCGGUGACAGCCCUCUUCCAUGCCGAGGGCGCCAAGGGCGUUUCACCGGUUCUAGCAGCGGCCUACACCACCUUCUUCUCAGUGCUGGAUGAGGUUGCCGAUAUGCUGCGCUUCAACAUCGCGGCACAGCUUCCGGCGGAGCAGGAGCGGCUGCUGCUGGAGGCGAGCUGUCAGCUGCCGAUGUGGGACUUGACAACGGCGAAGCUCACUCUCGUGGUCCUGCGGCACCUCGCCUCUCUGCCCGCGGUGGCCGACAGCACUGUGAAGGGUCUCAUAGCGUACGCAUCGAAGCAAACACCGCUGUCUGGGCUGGAGCUGCUGGCCGAGCUGUCGUGCACCCACAUUCCUACCCCUGAUGUGUACAGCGAGCUCAUCCGCGUCAUAAUUGACGCCCUCUGCCGCUGCCACCGUCUGCGCCACUUGCCACCCAACGGCCGCCUGCAGAAAGAGUCGGGUGGCUCGCUGAUGGGCAGCGCACCAGCUGCCCUGACAACCCUGCGCCGAGUGGUCAUGGCGGCGGUGCUGGCCAGGCGCGGCGUCGUGCUCCAUAGCCGCAUGGACAGCGUCCUGCGCAGCACGGUAAACCUCGUCGUGUUCGAUGCCGUCUGCGAGGCAGUGUCGCAGCUGCGGUCGACGAAGGAGGGCGAGGUGGCCCCUCUCGCCAAGCUUAUCGCGUUCACGUCACGCUUCAUGGGCGACUUGCUCACCAGCGACGUCAUGACCCUGCGAGGGUCGGAGACGAGCGUGGAAAAGAUUGCCUCGGUGCUGUGCUUCGCCUACGCCUGGCUGUUCGCGACGAGCAUUGCGAAGCUGGAGCAGCUCGGUGUAUCGACAGUCGCGGGUGUCAUUCGCAGCGUGUGCCUCCUGGCGAACCUGACGCUCAUGCGCGCCACGGUCCCGCUUGCCGUGCCGAUGCAGUUCAUCAUGCAGCGUUUCUCGCUGAAGCCGCUGCGCGAGGAAUACUCAACAGCGCAGCCGGCGAAGGUGGCACAGUUCCGCCAACAGAACUUGGUGCUGACCAAGACGCAAAAGCAGAAGAUGCUGCUCUUCCCGUACUUGCUGUCGUGGUGCGUCUACCUCACCAGCGUCCCACCGCCACCAACAGAGGAGGCGCAGGGCACUGGCAGCAACGUCGCGCGUGACAAGGAUUGGCAGCGACAGGUGUACACCCUUCUCGAUCUCUUGUUUGCUCUCAUGCUGACUCCGAUGGAGCGGGCCUCGACCAGGCUGGAUUCGACGUUCAUUGGUGCCUCACUGAACGCCGGUACCGCAGGCGACAGCAGCGCCACCGGGCCACUCGGCUUCGAGCUGGUUGCACUCACGCGCGUCGACGCGCCGGAUCAGAUGGCGCAGCUGGCUCGUGGUGCCUUCGCCGUCUUCACGCAGUUACUGCACGGCAACACCUUGUCGCUGACGAAGAGUUGGCUGGAGACGGUGGAGCGUAAAGGCCGCUCACUCUUCUACAGCUCCGUCGACCAGCACAUCACCGGUAUCCUCAUUCAGGAGAGCUUCUUGUCGGUGCUGAGGCGCAGCCCUGACGGCAGCAGCAGCUUCAGCGUUGGAGACAGCUGCAGUGUGGAAGUGAACGUGGCUCAGCAGCUCAUUGACCUGAGCUACGAAAUGGAAGACGCGAAGGUCGCCGUGCGCAUCACCUUCCCGCCGGCAUUCCCUCUGUACCCGCCCGUGGUCGAGCACGAGACGGGUCGUGAGUGUGGCGUUUCCAUGAAGAAGUGGCGCUCGUGGAUGCUGAAGAUGUCCGUCAUCCUCUUCGGUGGCUCAGCGAACGUGUGGGAGUGCAUUGACCUCUUCCACCAGAACCUUGAUGCGCACUUCCGCGGUAUCGAGCCAUGCCCCAUCUGCUUCGCCGUCGUGAGCCCCGUGAACCACAAGCUGCCAGACGUGCGCUGCUCCGUGUGCCACAACUCCGCCUUCCACUCGAACUGCCUGUACACAUGGUGGGCCACAGGCUCCAACAACGUCUGCCCGCUGUGUCGCUCGCCAUGGAUCGCGGAGUAGGCUACCAUUCUCCCCCCGUCCGAAGCGGACGGCGAGGGGGGACCGCAAGAGACAGAAAAGUCCAUGUUGUGCCUGUGAUUGUGCACAUAAACGAGGCCGAAAACACUGAUGAAGUGCGGGACGGCAUCUGCGUGCCUGUCGUGGUCAACACGCAGCCGCACGUAGUGCUCUACCUCCGCGCACGUCCUGGGAUCACUAGUUCAACCCCCCCCCCUCGCACACACACCCCAUCCUCUGCGCGCCGCAGUGCUGCGGCUAGAGCGGAAGCUCACCCCGCGCUGCCCUUCUUUUCGUAAACCAGUAUGACGCUAACCAAACAUGUAGCGAUGAAGCCCUUGACGCGGUGCGCUGCGCUAUAUUCCCCGGUGCUUCGAGCUCUUCAGAUUCAUGGGAGGGUGCGUCGGGCGAGGCGGGCCGGGUGCAACGAAGACCCGUAUGGCAUUACACAGCAUGAGCGAGUGGGCCUGGGCGCUACCCACAGCAGCAUCAGUGCAUCCAUCCCCCUCCGAUAUCGAUGACCUCUCCCUCGUUGACUGCCUUCGCGCGCGUCAGCAGAAGCAGCUGUGUGUAG
rnacentral:misc_RNA from 1 species